rnacentral:sRNA from 1 species
GUCACUAACUCCGCCCUAAAGGACGGAGCUUGCCUAAACCAAUUUAGGCAACGUAAGUAGCGACUACCACACUGAGACACAACUUGGCACAGACCUCCGAAUACUUCCCCAGUUCGGAUGCCCUCUAAGCCUUAUUGGUAGGGCGUUGUGAGACAAGACAUCUUAGUUGUGUUGUGGGAGGGGACUUAAACGAUUUGCUGGUUCUCGGCCUUAUCGGCAAUUAAAAACCAGUACCCGCAAGGGU